ACCGGUCUCCAGCUUGGCUCUGCCUCCAACUUGAGUAUGUCUCUGAGACAGCCCUCCCCGGGCUGGGUUGCAGUCAACAAAGUGAGGAAGCUUGACCAAAAGGAACUCAGAAAACCCAUCCAGCUUGAUAGCAGAGGCAGCAGCUGCACAGAGGUGGAACGAAUGCGGGCUCACGGCUGGAACACUUCCAUUAGGGCUGGCAUCAGGAAAAGAGAAAAAGCCUCCGUGAACAUCGAGUGACCUAUUCAAAGCCACAGAGAACCCAAACUGUCUGCUUUGCAGUGCGCAGCUCCUUCCAUUCAUUAUCUGUCAGCUGCACGGUCCUAAAUGCCCUCAGAAAUGUGUCUUCCUCUAAGAGAUCAGAGCACAGGCGGAUACUGGAAUACAAAGGGAUGAGAAGACAUGGUCCCUCGUUCCAGGUGUCCUGCAAGAUGAGACAGCAGCACAGAUCUCCUUCCCCUCCUGCUCAGGGAAGCUACCUGGAUGUCUCCUCCACCAGGAUGAUACCCGUUUUGCCCAGGGCCACGUGCAGGGUGGUCUGCAC
ensembl:lncRNA